CAAUAAUAAGCUCAGUGGUUCUAUCCCAUUUUCUCUUGGUGACUUGGAACAUCUGCUAAAGCUGAAUCUUAGCAGAAAUCACUUGACAGGAUUUAUUCCUGCUGAGUUUGGCAAUCUGAGAAGCAUCAUGGAUAUGUGUAAAACCUAUUAUCUUAGUUGCCAUAAUUUCCUUUUGAAGACUGAGAAAUUCCGGAGUCUCUAAUUUAAGCCUCUAUGUUGCAGAGAUCUUUCAAAUAAUCAUCUAUCAGGCUUGAUCCCUGAAGAACUUAGUAAACUUCAAAGCAUAUUCUCAUUAUACGCAUUCACUCCCUUUGAUAGGCCUUUGAUGGUUUUCAUAAUAUUCCUAAACUGGGAUAUAUUAUCCCUUUGAUAGGCCUUUGAUGGUUUUCAUAAUAUUCCUAAACUGGGAUAUAUUUGGUGCUUGAGAUUGUUAUUCACAAAUUCUUCGUUGUUUGAGCUUAUUCAUUUGUCCCAUACUUCUACAUACAUAAUGGGGACCAUUGGCUACAUAGACCCAUAAUAUGCCCGCACUUCUCGCCUCACAGAGAAGUCAGAUGUCUACAGCUAUGGAAUUGUUUUACUGGAGUUGCUGACUGGCAGGAAAGCAGUGGACAAUGAAUCCAAUCUCCCAUCACCUGAUCUUAUCCAAAACUGCAAGCGAUUCGGUAAUGGAAACGGUUGAUCCCGAUGUCACUGCCCCAUGUAAAGAUCUCAGAGCGUUGAAGAAGGUUUUCCAACUUGCUCUCUUGUGCACUAAGAGGCAACCAUCGGAACGUCCUACCAUGCAUGAAGUGGCUAGAGUCCUCGGAAGCCUAUUGCUGUCCACAAUCCCACUGAAGCAGUUAUCUGCGGUAGGGUCCGCUUUGCUUCCGAGCACAAAGAUCGCUAGUUACAUGGACAAGUAUGCAAAUUUGAAGACUCUGCACUUGGUAAAUUGCUCAGCCAUGAGCACCUCGGAUGCCCAACUCUUCCGUGAAUUUGGUGAGGUGAUCUCUCAUAACAGCAACCUGGACCUUGAAAAGUCGGCUUAAGUAAGGAUGGGUAGGCUUUUAGGUGGGAUGGAGGCAAAGAGGGAAAAUGUAUAUAUGUGGAACUCGACUCUCUCUUGUUAGCAAGCUAGUUUUUGUACUUAUCUAGUUAGUAUCAGCUUUCUAGCUGAAGUGAAAAGGUUGAACAAACUCACUGAUACUGAUAGGUCAAAUGGGGUUGUGCCCCGAUUCUUACCAUAAGCGUUGCGCUGUGUUGAAGUACAUGAUACUAAUUUUUUCACAUAGAUGUAAUCAAUUGUCGAGUACUCUUA